UACGAAGGGUGCAAGCGUUACUCGGAAUUACUGGGCGUAAAGAGCUCGUAGGCGGCUUGUCACGUCGGGUGUGAAAGCCCGGGGCUUAACCCCGGGUCUGCAUUCGAUACGGGCUAGCUAGAGUGUGGUAGGGGAGAUCGGAAUUCCUGGUGUAGCGGUGAAAUGCGUAGAGAUGUGGAGGAACACCGAUGGCGAAGGCAGCCUUCUGGGCCAAUACUGACGCUCAUGCACGAAAGCGUGGGGAGCAAACAGG
rnacentral:rRNA from 1 species